CUACGGGCCGCUGCAGUGGGGGAUAUUGCACAAUGGGCGAAAGCCUGAUGCAGCAACGCCGCGUGAAGGAAGACGGUUUUCGGAUUGUAAACUUCUAUCAGCAGGGAAGAAAAUGACUGUACCUGACUAAGAAGCCCCGGCUAACUACGUGCCAGCAGCCGCGGUAAUACGUAGGGGGCAAGCGUUAUCCGGAAUUACUGGGUGUAAAGGGUACGUAGGCGGCUGAUCAAGUCAGAUGUGAAAGCCCGGAGCUCAACUCCGGGACUGCAUUUGAAACUGGUCGGCUAGAGUGCAGGAGAGGAAAGUGGAAUUCCUAGUGUAGCGGUGAAAUGCGUAGAUAUUAGGAAGAACACCAGUGGCGAAGGCGGCUUUCUGGACUGUAACUGACGCUGAGGUACGAAAGCGUGGGGAGCGAACAGGAUUAGAUACCCGUGUAGUC
rnacentral:rRNA from 1 species